CAUUUUUCCUCUACGUGAUGAAGAGAAUCAAUCGAGUUUCUGACGAUGGCUUCGUAUUGAUUUUAUGACAUACAUGUGUAAAAAGGAAACGUUUGUUGUUUUAAAUGUGGAGCGCCUUUGCUCGAAACCCAAGUUUAUACACACGGUUGCUGUUAACCAUAACGUGUUCGAUUAUUUUAUAGUCAUAUUUACAACAAAGUGUUCUUGUUUUGUUUACACAAUGCUAUUCUUCCCUAAAAAGAUAGAUAUGUUACUUUGUUAACUGAUAUUUUAGUUUUAGUUAUUUAGGCAAUGAUUAGUAUAUGUUUAGUAUCAUUUUAUUAAUUAUAUAGAAGAAUUGUAUGUUUAAUUCAUAGCAUAAAGUAUAGGCAAAUAUGAUGUUCCUGAUAAAGAGGGAUAUAAAAGUAGUUCCGCAUGGUUCAAAUGGAAUAUUAAUUUGUGCUUUACUUAGCAUGUAACAAUUUUUCAUUAAUAAUGUAUUUUCGCGCUAAAUGUUUGUAUGAAUUCGGUAUAUACUGAUAAUUUGUUGUUUGUCUAUCUGUCUUUAUUCAUACUUUAUAGUAAUCAACAAACGUACCGGUAUAUGUAGCUUAUAUGCAUUACUGAUUUUGUAUACUAGUAACCAUAAGGAACAUAUUUUACAAGUAUUUUUUUUUAUCUAAGAAGUAAUCAAAAUAAAUUUGAUACACUU
rnacentral:misc_RNA from 1 species